GACAGUCUUACUUCUUUUUCUUUAAAAUAGUUUGAAUAUGUUAUCUUACUGUUUUAUGGCUUCAAGAGUUUCUGAUGAGAAAUCAGCUGUUAGUCUCAUUGAGGAUUCCUUGUACCUGAUGGGUUUGUUUUUCUCUUCAUAUUUUGAAGACUGGCUUUUGAAAUUUUUACUAUGACGUCUCCAUGUCUUUAUGUGUAUCUCACUUGAGUGAGUCAAGUUCAUUUGACUCAUUUUAUAUGUACAUGUAUGUUUUUCCCUUACAUUAAGGAAAUUUUAGGCGUUUGUUCUUCAAACUGUUUCUGCCCUUCUACUGUGACUUUUAUGAACAUGUUGAUAUGCUGUGUUCCUCAGUUCUCUGAAGCUGUUUUUCUUUUUUCUUUCUGCUUCACAGAAUGGAUCUCCUCAACUGUCCUGUAUUCAAAUUCGAUUACCUUUUCCUGCUAGCUCAAAUAGUGUGAUUAAAUUUUUCUAGUGAAUUUUUAUUAUUUAUUUCUCUGUAUCUUUAUUGUCUAGUAAUUGAUACAUUUUUAAAAAAUUUAAAUUUUAGGUUUAGGAGUACAUGUGCAAGUUUGUUAUAUAGGUAGAUUGUGAGUCAUGUUGGUUUGGUGUACAGAUUAUUUCAUUACCCAGGUAAUAAGCAUAGUACCUGAUAGGUAGUUUUUUGAUCCUCACUCUCCUCCCACCUUCUACCUUCAAGUGCUCCCAGUUACAAGAGAGAAUGUAUGGCAUUUAGUUUACUGUUCCUGCAUCAAUGUGCUUAGGAUUAUGGCCUCCAGCUCUAUUCAUGUUGCUGUAAAGAACAUGAUUUCAUUCUUUUUUCAUGGCUACAUAGUAUUCCAAGGUGAAAAUGCUCCAUAUUUUCUAUGUCCAGUCUACCAGUGUGAUAGUUAAUAUUGAGUGUCAACUUGAUUGGAUUGAAGGAUGCACAGUAUUGUUCCUGGAUGUGUCUCUGUGAAGGUGUUGCCAAAGGAGAUUAAAAUUUGAGUCAGUGAAUUGGGAGAGACAGAUUCACCCUCAAUCUGGGUGGGCACAAUCUAAUCAGCUGCACAGUCUCAUCAGCUGCUGGUAGAAUAAAGCAAGCAGAAGAAUAUAGAAGGACUAGACUGUCUGAGUCUUCCAGCCUUCAUCUUUCACCCAUGCUAGAUGCUUCCUGCCCUUGAACAUUGGACUUCAAGCUCUUGUACUCUUGGACUUACACCAGUUGUUUGCAAGGGGCUCUCAGGCCUUCAGCCCACACUGUUGGCUUCCCGACUUUUGAGGUUUUGGGACUCAGACUAGCUUCCUUGCUCCUCAGCUUGCAGAGGAACUAUUAUGGGACUUCACCUUGUGAUUGUGUGAGUCCAUCCUCCUUAAUAAACUCCCUUUUAUAUAUACAUCUAUCCUAUUAGUCCUGUCCUUCUGGGAAACCCUGACUAAUACAACCAGUCCUGGGUACCUGGGUUGAUUGUAUGUCUUUGCUCUUGUGAAUACCACAGUGAUGAACAUUGAAGUGCAUGUGUCUUUUGGUAGAAUGAUUUAUUUUCUUUUGGGUAUAUACCAGAAAUGGGAUUGUUGGGUGAAACUGUAGCUCUGUUUUAAGUUAUUUGAGAAAUUCUCAGACUGUUUUCCUCAGUGACCGGACUAAUUUACAUUCCCACCAACAGUGUUUAAACAUUCCCCUUUUUCUUCAGGCUUGCCAGGAUCUUUCUCUUUUUUGCUUUUAAUAAUAGCCAUUCUGACGUUGUGAGAUACUAUCUUAUUGUGGGGUUUUUUUUGUUGUCGUCGUUGUUUGUUUUUCGAGACAGAGUCGCCCAGGGUGGAGUGCAGUGGUGUGAUCUCUGCUCACUGCAGCCUAUGCCUCCCGGGUUCAAGCGAUUCUCCUGCCUUAGAGUCCCAAGUAGCUGGGACUGCAGGCGUGUGCCACCAUGCCUGGCUACUUUUUGUAUUUUUAGUACAGAUGGGGUUUCACCAUGUUGGCCAGGCUGGUCUCGAACUCGUGACCUUGAGUGAUCCACCACCAUGGCCUCCCACUGCUGGGAUUACAGGCAUGAGCCACCGCAUCGGGCCCUUAUGGUGGUUUUGAUUUGAAUUUCUCUGAUGAUUAGUGAUACUAAGAGCAUUUUUUCAUAUGUUUGUUGACCAUUCUAUAUCUUCUUUUGAAAAGUGCCUCUUAAUGGGGUUGAUUUUUGCUUGUUGAUUUAUUUAAGUGCCCUAUAGAUUCAGGAUAUUAGGCUUCUGUCAAAUGCAUAGUUUGUCAAUGAUCUCUGUUCGCCAAUGAUAUGGUUCUAUACCUAGAAAAUGCCUUCUUUAAGAAAAUAAAAUUGUAUUUUGUGGAUGUAUCACAUUUUCCUUAUAUAUCUGCUUUGGGCAUUUGGGUUGCUUCUGCCUCUUGGGCAUUAUGAAUAAUGCUACAGUGAAUAUGGAUAUGCAGAUGUAUGUUUGAGAUCUUGCUUUGAAUUACUUUGGAUAUAUACCCAAAAGUGGGAUUCCUGGAUCAUAUGGUAAUUCUAUUGUUAAUUUUUCAGGAACCUCCAUACAUUUUUCCACAAUGGCUGUACCAUUUUAUGUUCCCAUCAACAGCAUGCAAAGGUUCCAGUUUCUCCACAUUGUCACCAACACUUGCUGUUUUUUAUUUCACUCUUGUUGCCCAGGCUGGAGUGCAAUGGCACUGUCUUGGUUCACUGCAACCUCCACCUCCUGAGUUCAAGCGAUUCUCCUGCCUCAGUCUCCCCGAGUAGCUGGGAUUACAGGUGCCUGCC
rnacentral:lncRNA from 1 species